UUAGUUGAUCCUAAGGGUCGGGGGAACCCCAACAGAUAGUGCAUUUCGCGCUUUCUCCAAAAGGGAAUCGGGUUAAAAUUCCUGAACUAAGACGUGGUAGUCAACGACAACAUUAGAAAGUCCGGAGACAUCGGUGGGAGCCUCGGGAAUAGUUAUCUUUUCUGUUUAACAGCCUGCCCACCCUAGAAUUGCCUCAGCCGGAGGUAGGGUCCAGCAGCUGGAAGAGAACCGCACGUCGUGUGGUGUUCGGUGCACUCCUGGAGGCCCUUAAAAAUCUGGAGGAUCGAAUGCCAUCCAUUCCCAAUCCUACUCAUAAAUGCAUCAGGUCUCCAAGGUGACAGGAAUAGUCGGGGGCAUUUGUAUUUCAUAAUCAAAGGUGAAAUUCUUGGAUUUAUGAAAGACGAAUAACUAUGAAAGCAUUUGCCAAGGAUGUUUUCAUUAAUCAAGAAUGAAAGCUGGGGGCUCAAAGAUAAUCAGAUACCGUCCUAGUCUCAACCAUAAAUGAUGUCGACCAGGGAUCGACGGAUGUUGGUUUUAGGACUCCACCGGCACCUUAUGAGAAAUCAAAGUUUUCCAGUUCCGAGGGGAGUAUGGUCUCAAGGAUGAAAAUUAUAGGAAUUGAUGGAAGGAAACCACCAGGAGUGGAGCCUGCGGCCUAAUUUGACUCAACACGGGAAAACUUACUAGGUCGAGACAUAGUAAGGAUUGACAGACUGAGAGCUCUUUCUUGAUUCUAUGGGUGGUGGUGCAUGGCCGUUCUUAGUUGGUGGAGUGAUUUGUCUGGUUAAUUCUGUUAACAAAUGAUACCUCAGCCUACUAACUAGCUAUGCGGAGGUAUCCCUUCGCUGCCAGCUUUUUAUAGGCACUACGACCUUUUAGGCUGAGAAAGUUUGAGGCAAUAACAGGUCUGUGAUGCCUUUAGAUGUUCUGGUCUGCACUAAUGUAUUCAACGAGUUUGUAGCCUUGGACGACAGGCCCAGGUAAUCUUUUGAAUUUCAUCAUGAUAGGGAUAGAUCAUUGCAAUUGUUGGUAUUCAAUGAGGAAUUCCUAGUAAGCGUUAGUCAUCAGCUUGCGUUGACUACGUCCCUGCCCUUUGUACACACCGCCCAUCGCUCCUACUGAUUGAAUGAUCUGGUGAAAUAUUUGAAUCGUGGAAAUGUAGGUGGUUCGCUUCCCCCAACGUCGUGAGAAAUCCAUUAAACCUUAUCAUAUAGAGGAAGGAGAAGUUGUAACAAGGUUUCCGUAGGUGAACCUGUGGAAGGAUCAUU
rnacentral:ncRNA from 1 species